UACAGAGGGUGCGAGCGUUAAUCGGAAUUACUGGGCGUAAAGCGUGCGUAGACGGUUAUCUAAGUCGGAUGUGAAAGCCCCGGGCUCAACCUGGGAAUUGCGAUGGAUACUGGCGAGCUAGAGUACGGUAGAGGAUGGUGGAAUUCCCGGUGUAGCGGUGAAAUGCGUAGAGAUCGGGAGGAACACCCGUGGCGAAGGCGGCCAUCUGGACCAGUACUGACGCUGAGGCACGAAAGCGUGGGGAGCAAACAGG
rnacentral:rRNA from 1 species